GAUUUAGCGUUCCCCUCGCCUCCGGCCGCCGUCUGGGCACUGCGAGGUGGAGGGGGGGGGGGGCCUCAGUUUUGUGUACCCGAUCUUGCGGAUCUUGGGUUUCUGUAGUCGCAGAUCCAUUUAUACGUAUCUGCUGGGUUUUUGUUAGUGUGUCAUGGUGCUUUUUUUUGUUUAUCUUUUAUAAUUUUGGAAUCCUUCUCUGGCGUUCUGACGAAGAUCUUGCGGUUCAAGGACCUGCACCUUUAGGGGAUGAGUAGGCCUGGACGAAAAGAUCGAAGUUCGACAAUCUUAUUGAACGCUUGCUAACUCGGUUCGUUAAGGGCUCGGUUCGUUAACUAAAGAACCCAACAAGACUUCCCGGGUAGGGUCAUGGUGACACAACUCUAGUCGAGAUGACGAAGGCAAAGCCGGCAUAGUUACGUAUGCUGGCAUCGUAAAGUUAAACUAACACUAAGCCGGCAUCCUGGGCGUAUGCCGGCAUGGCUAUCUUGUUUUAUGAGUUUGCAGGAUAAGGACGAGCACUUUGAUCUCGGCGAUAGACGGGAUCUCUCAACGGUCUUAUCCUGACCACGCGGUGCGAAGUAAAGUAAAGCCAUCAUCAUCUCAAAGUCUCAAAGAAGCGGUCAGCGCCUGCGUACCGGUGUCAGGUGACCACGCUAGAG
rnacentral:lncRNA from 1 species